rnacentral:tRNA from 2 species
GCGGGCGUAGCGCAGUUGGUAGCGCGUCACCUUGCCAAGGUGAAGGUCGCGGGUUCGAGCCCCGUCGCCCGCU